UACGUAGGGCGCAAGCGUUAUCCGGAAUUAUUGGGCGUAAAGAGCUCGUAGGCGGUUUGUUGCGUCGGCUGUGAAAUCCCGAGGCUCAACCUCGGGUCUGCAGUCGAUACGAGCAAACUAGAGUGUUGCAGGGGAGACUGGAAUUCCUGGUGUAGCGGUGAAAUGCGCAGAUAUCAGGAGGAACACCGGUGGCGAAGGCGGUUCUCUGGGCAUGUCCUGACGCUGAGGAGCGAAAGUGUGGGGAGCGAACAGG
rnacentral:rRNA from 1 species